rnacentral:tRNA from 1 species
GUUCUAUGCUGGGUAAUUAGAAAUUUUGAAAGUUUCUUAAAAGUGUUCAAUUCACUUGUAGAAUU